GGGAUUGUUGUUCAAUUUGUCAGAGAACCGCCCUGUCAAGGCAGAAGUUGUGGGUUCAAGUCCCGUCAGUCCCG
rfam:Gossypium hirsutum cultivar TM-1 chromosome 3, whole genome shotgun sequence